rnacentral:rRNA from 1 species
GACGUAGGGCGCGAGCGUUGUCCGGAAUCAUUGGGCGUAAAGCGCGCGUAGGCGGUCAGGUAAGUCCGGUGUGAAAGUCAAAGGCUCAACCUUUGAAUGCCGCUGGAUACUGCUUGACUUGAGUCCGGAAGGGGCGAGUGGAAUUCCUGGUGUAGCGGUGAAAUGCGCAGAUAUCAGGAGGAACACCAAUGGCGAAGGCAGCUCGCUGGAACGGUACUGACGCUGAGGCGCGAAAGCGUGGGGAGCGAACAGG